rnacentral:rRNA from 1 species
UUAAAUUGAAGAGUUUGAUCAUGGCUCAGAUUGAACGCUGGCGGCAGGCCUAACACAUGCAAGUCGAACGGUAACAGGAAGUAGCUUGCUG